AGCGGCGGAUGGGUGAGUAACACGUGGGGAACCUGCCCCUAAGUCUGGGAUACCAUUUGGAAACAGGUGCUAAUACCGGAUAAUAAAGCAGAUCGCAUGAUCAGCUUUUGAAAGGCGGCGUAAGCUGUCGCUAAGGGAUGGCCCCGCGGUGCAUUAGCUAGUUGGUAAGGUAACGGCUUACCAAGGCGACGAUGCAUAGCCGAGUUGAGAGACUGAUCGGCCACAUUGGGACUGAGACACGGCCCAAACUCCUACGGGAGGCAGCAGUAGGGAAUCUUCCACAAUGGACGCAAGUCUGAUGGAGCAACGCCGCGUGAGUGAUGAAGGUUUUCGGAUCGUAAAGCUCUGUUGUUGGCGAAGAGGGAUAGAGGUAGUAACUGGCCUUUAUUUGACGGUAAUCAACCAGAAAGUCACGGCUAACUACGUGCCAGCAGCCGCGGUAAUACGUAGGUGGCAAGCGUUGUCCGGAUUUAUUGGGCGUAAAGCGAGCGCAGGCGGAAAAAUAAGUCUAAUGUGAAAGCCCUCGGCUUAACCGAGGAACAGCAUCGGAAACUGUUUUUCUUGAGUGCAGAAGAGGAGAGUGGAACUCCAUGUGUAGCGGUGGAAUGCGUAGAUAUAUGGAAGAACACCAGUGGCGAAGGCGGCUCUCUGGUCUGCAACUGACGCUGAGGCUCGAAAGCAUGGGUAGCGAACAGGAUUAGAUACCCUGGUAGUCCAUGCCGUAAACGAUGAGUGCUAAGUGU
rnacentral:rRNA from 1 species